GAUGAACGCUGGCGGCGUGCCUAAUACAUGCAAGUCGAGCGAACGGACGAGAAGCUUGCUUCUCUGAUGUUAGCGGCGGACGGGUGAGUAACACGUGGAUAACCUACCUAUAAGACUGGGAUAACUUCGGGAAACCGUAGCUAAUACCGGAUAAUAUUUUGAACCGCAUGGUUCAAAAGUGAAAGACGGUCUUGCUGUCACUUAUAGAUGGAUCCGCGCUGCAUUAGCAAGUUGGUAAGGUAACGGCUUACCAAGGCAACGAUGCAUAGCCGACCUGAGAGGGUGAUCGGCCACACUGGAACUGAGACACGGUCCAGACUCCUACGGGAGGCAGCAGUAGGGAAUCUUCCGCAAUGGGCGAAAGCCUGACGGAGCAACGCCGCGUGAGUGAUGAAGGUCUUCGGAUCGUAAAACUCUGUUAUUAGGGAAGAACAUAUGUGUAAGUAACUGUGCACAUCUUGACGGUACCUAAUCAGAAAGCCACGGCUAACUACGUG
rnacentral:rRNA from 1 species